rnacentral:rRNA from 1 species
AUUGAACGCUGGCGGCAUGCCUUACACAUGCAAGUCGAACGGCAGCACGGGUGCUUGCACCUGGUGGCGAGUGGCGAACGGGUGAGUAAUACAUCGGAACAUGUCCUGUAGUGGGGGAUAGCCCGGCGAAAGCCGGAUUAAUACCGCAUACGAUCUACGGAUGAAAGCGGGGGACCUUCGGGCCUCGCGCUAUAGGGUUGGCCGAUGGCUGAUUAGCUAGUUGGUGGGGUAAAGGCCUACCAAGGCGACGAUCAGUAGCUGGUCUGAGAGGACGACCAGCCACGCUGGGACUGAGACACGGCCCAGACUCCUACGGGAGGCAGCAGUGGGGAAUUUUGGACAAUGGGCGAAAGCCUGAUCCAGCAAUGCCGCGUGUGUGAAGAAGGCCUUCGGGUUGUAAAGCACUUUUGUCCGGAAAGAAAUCCUUUGGGCUAAUACCUCGGGGGGAUGACGGUACCGGAAGAAUAAGCACCGGCUAACUACGUGCCAGCAGCCGCAGUAACAC